AGCAGCCGCGGUAAUUCCAGCUCCAAUAGCGUAUAUUAAAGUUGUUGCAGUUAAAAAGCUCGUAGUUGAAUUUCGGGAUCAGUUCGCUGGUCGUGCCUCUGGUAUGUACUGGUGUUACUGGUUCCUCCCUUCUGACGAACUGUCAUGUCAUUAAUUUGGUGUGGCGGGGAAUCAGGACUGUUACUUUGAAAAAUUAGAGUGUUUAAAGCAGGCUCGCGCUUGAAUACAUUAGCAUGGAAUAAUGAAAUAGGACGUUCGAUCCUAUUUUGUUGGUUUCUAGGAUUGACGUAAUGAUUAAUAGGGAUAGUUGGGGGCAUUAGUAUUCAAUUGUCAGAGGUGAAAUUCUUGGAUUUAUUGAAGACUAACUACUGCGAAAGCAUUUGCCAAGGAUGUUUUCAUUAAUCAAGAACGAAAGUUAGGGGAUCGAAGACGAUCAGAUACCGUCGUAGUCUUAACCAUAAACUAUGCCGACUAGGGAUCGGAUGAUGUUAUUUUUAAUGA
rnacentral:rRNA from 1 species